UAUUAUAUAUUUUCCAUACACCUGACAAAAACUGACAUUACUUAUCACAAGUAAUGUCAGUUUUUGUCAGGUGUAUGGAAAAUAUAUAAUA